AGUGAACGCUGGCGGUAGGCCUAACACAUGCAAGUCGAACGGCAGCACAGGAGAGCUUGCUCUCUGGGUGGCGAGUGGCGGACGGGUGAGGAAUACAUCGGAAUCUACUCUGUCGUGGGGGAUAACGUAGGGAAACUUACGCUAAUACCGCAUACGACCUACGGGUGAAAGCAGGGGACCUUCGGGCCUUGCGCGAUUGAAUGAGCCGAUGUCGGAUUAGCUAGUUGGCGGGGUAAAGGCCCACCAAGGCGACGAUCCGUAGCUGGUCUGAGAGGAUGAUCAGCCAAACUGGAACGGAGACACGGUCCAGACUCCUACGGGAGGCAGCAGUGGGGAAUAUUGGACAAUGGGCGCAAGCCUGAUCCAGCCAUACCGCGUGGGUGAAGAAGGCCUUCGGGUUGUAAAGCCCUUUUGUUGGGAAAGAAAUCCAGCUGGCUAAUACCCGGUUGGGGUGACGGUACCCAAAGAAUAAGCACCGGCUAACUUCGUGCCAGCCGCCGCCGUAA
rnacentral:rRNA from 1 species